rnacentral:rRNA from 1 species
UGGGGAAUAUUGGACAAUGGGCGCAAGCCUGAUCCAGCCAUGCCGCGUGAGUGACGAAGGCCUUAGGGUUGUAAAGCUCUUUUGGCGGGGAAGAUAAUGACGGUACCCGCAGAAUAAGCUCCGGCUAACUUCGUGCCAGCAGCCGCGGUAAUACGAAGGGAGCUAGCGUUGUUCGGAAUCACUGGGCGUAAAGCGCACGUAGGUGGGCAGUUAAGUCAGGGGUGAAAGCCCGAGGCUCAACCUCGGAAUUGCCUCUGAUACUGGCUGUCUAGAGUUCGAGAGAGGUGAGUGGAAUUCCUAGUGUAGAGGUGAAAUUCGUAGAUAUGAGGAAGAACACCGGUGGCGAAGGCGGCUCACUGGCUCGAUACUGACACUGAGGUGCGAAAGCGUGGGGAGCAAACAGGAUUAGAUACCCCAGUAGUCCCUGAGCGGGCUGGCAAGGCGCAU